rnacentral:rRNA from 1 species
UACGAAGGGUGCAAGCGUUGUUCGGAAUCAUUGGGCGUAAAGGGCGCGUAGGCGGGUCUAUAAGUCACUUGUGAAAUCCCUGGGCUUAACCUAGGAGCUGCACGUGAUACUGUAGAUCUUGAAUGCUUGAGAGGGUGGCGGAAUUCCAGGUGUAGAAGUGAAAUUCGUAGAUAUCUGGAGGAACAUCCGAGGCGAAGGCGGCCACCUGGCAAGACAUUGACGCUGAGGUGCGAAAGCACGGGGAGCAAACAGG